GACGAACGCUGGCGGCGUGCUUAACACAUGCAAGUCGAACGGAAAGGCCCUGCUUUUGUGGGGUGCUCGAGUGGCGAACGGGUGAGUAACACGUGAGUAACCUGCCCUUGACUUUGGGAUAACUUCAGGAAACUGGGGCUAAUACCGGAUAGGAGCUCCUGCUGCAUGGUGGGGGUUGGAAAGUUUCGGCGGUUGGGGAUGGACUCGCGGCUUAUCCGCUUGUUGGUGGGGUAGUGGCUUACCAAGGCUUUGACGGGUAGCCGGCCUGAGAGGGUGACCGGCCACAUUGGGACGGAGAUACGGCCCAGACUCCUACGGGAGGCAGCAGUGGGGAAUAUUGCACAAUGGGCGGAAGCCUGAUGCAGCAACGCCGCGUGCGGGAUGACGGCCUUCGGGUUGUAAACCGCUUUCGCCUGUGACGAAGCGUGAGUGACGGUAAUGGGUAAAGAAGCACCGGCUAACUACGUG
rnacentral:rRNA from 1 species